ACAAGGGAAGGCCUUUCGCACAGUCCCAAGGCCAGGAAGACGGAGGACGAGAACCCAGGAGCCCCCACGUCACCCCUGGGCUGUGCCUCUGCCCUCCAAGGCAUCAGUGACUUGAACAGCCUUCAGGCCUAGGUAGGGACAAGAAAGGACCUGCCCGUGUCACUCUGGAAGCCAGCCCACCGCAGGCCAGUUCUUACAGCCAGUCCAAGGUGCUUGGCAACGUGGACCUUCUCAAGAAGAAAUUCUGCUUGAAUGGACCAUCUCCAAGGUCCACCUGCAGCGGGGCGGGUCCCCGGGAACCAACAAGGAACAGGCUUGCUGUGGACCAGCACUGCUCGAUGGGUUCAAGGCGUCCUUGUCUGCUAAACAGGAAGGCAUGUGUGAUUCUGGCCUCCAGGUGGCUGAGUCCCAGCUAAGAGCCGAGGCAGCCCUGGGCUGUACAGAACCGACAGCAGGGGGUCCUCUGCUUCCUGAAAUGCACAUCUGCCCCAUAGCCAGCCUCCCGCCUUAGGAAAAGCAGCCGGGCUUGUCCCCCAAGCCCACGCAGGCUGUGUCUGUUACUUGCAUCUGGGAUGCCGUGGGGAGUGUGGUACCCAAAGGGUAAGGAGUGUCACCUCGCCUUGGCCAUCUGUGACUCUGGAACUUAAGGACUUCUGUGUCAGAAGAAAGGCACCCCUCUUUGGAACAUUUGCGCCUGCAGAACCAGACCCGGGCCCCAGGAUCACGGAAUCCACUGGGGUCAGUGUGAAGUGACCACAGACCUUGCGACCACCAUGGGCCAGCUCCAAUAUGACAAGGCCAUCUGCUGAUGGGCCACAGGCGUUGCCUGCAGAAGGACGCCCAAGGCAACUUGGGUGGAGACACGGCCAGCUGUGUGACAUUAUAGGGUUUCCAGACCUGGGACCAGGAAGCAGCCACAAGGCUUCCUUCCCUCCAACCAAAGUUCUCAGGGUGCAAAAGGCAGCCUUGCCAACCGGCCUGGCCAAUCCCAUGCUGAGCCCAGCCCUGUGCCUGAUCCGUCAUCAAGGGCAACCCAGCUGGUGUUUCAGGAAGAACCCAGCCUUCAAAGUUGACUUCAAAUUGCUAUGAAUCACCCUAUCUGAUGCAAAUGUGGGCUUGGGUAGACUCGGAGAUAGCUGAUUGCCUCAGAUUAAUCCACAGUUGCCUCGGCAGGUAAUUUACUUCUGGGAGUUGCAGGGACUAAGAAGAACAAGGCAUUUGCAUAAAUAGACUAAACUCAGAGUCCAGGCAGCCAGCCGGUUCUCUGGCUGGCAGCUCCUGGUGACAGAGGACUCCCAUGAUUCUGGACCCCACCCACCUAUCCAUAUCUCAUACGUGAAAAUCAUCCUUGAAGUCUGGCCAUGGUCCCCAGCCACUGCCCCUGAUAAGUGGGUGCUCCACCGCAAUGCCCCUCAGCAGGUGGUCUGUCUCUCCACAUUUCCGUGACUUUUGCUGCAACCAAAUUCUUUCUUGCCCUGGGUAGCGAUCCACCAUCAUGGCUCCAGUCACCCUCCAGGUCAACUGGCUUUGUCCUGGGAUGUUCCUUCAUGCGUUUGAAGUGUUCCCUGGCUUCUCUGUGCAGACCAAAGCCCUGGACUUCCUAAUACAGCAGGGUUCUGGAACGCUCCACCAUCUGGUCAGCCUCCUCCAGGCUUCCUUUCCUUGCAGCCUUCCUCUGAGAAUGUGGCAGCCAUACCAGGGGUGGGCUCACCAGUAUCACCUCCCUUGUUUCAGCCACUGUACUCCUAUUAAUAUGACCUGGCCUUUUGGACAGCUCAACCGCAUGGUGUCUCGUAAUAAGAUUUAGAGUUAACUAAACACGCCCUUUGUAAAAUGGGCACUGUUUGGCCUCCUUUCUCCCAGCUGGUAGCUGUUCUGUUGAGGUUUGGAGCUAAAUACUACACUUAAUAUUUAUUUCUGUGUGUGUGUGUGUGUGUGUGUGUGUGUAUUUGUCUUUUUACGCCCACACCCUUGGCAUAUGGAGGCUCCCAGGCUAGGGGCGAGUCAGAGCUGUAGCUGCCAGCCUACACCACAGCCAUAGCAACGCCAGAUCCUUAACCCACUGAGCGAGGCCAGGGAGCGAACCCUCAACGUCAUGGUUCCUCGUCAGAUUCGUUUCCACUGCACCACAACGGGAACUCCCUAUUCCUGUUAUAUAUUGUUGUUUUAAUUUGACCUGUCCUUCCGUCCCUGUCACUCACAGUAAUUUUCUGCCAUUUGGAAACCUGUUACAAACGCCUUUGGUGGCUUGACCCAGGUUAUUAUUUAAAAAGCAUUUUCUGUUAUGGAUGCGGUUAAUCAUUACAGCCAGCAGCUUGCUUUUCUCUACCUUUUUUCAAAAGGCAAUAUGCUAAUGGCUUUGCUAAAAUAUCUUAAAAUGUUAGCGCCGGAAGAGAUGCUAAGGACAUGUGCUUCAACUCCUUCAUUUGACGGAGGAGGGAACUGAGGCAGAGGGGUGCCAGGGACCAUGGAGACCCCCGAUCUGUGGCAGAGCCGGGCGCUGUGACUCAAAUAUUCCAACCCAGGUAUCCUUUGGCUAUUUGUGCAGAAAAAAAAAAAAAAAGAAGAAGAUGAUGGGCAUAUGGCACCAUGUCUACUGGAGGAUUCCAAGAGCAGACAACAGAAUCUUGGGGAGGAGGAGCUUGGUGGCUUAAAAGCCACAGCUGCCCAUCAGCUGAUGAAUAAACACCACGUGCUCUGGCCUUUUCACGGCAGGUUAUCCAGCAGCCCCGGAAAGAAAUGAGGCAUUGGCUCACAGCAACAUGGGUGACUCUUGACAAUAUUCUGGUGCGUGAAAGAAGCCAAUCACAAGUAUUGUGUGAUUCCUCUAAUGCAAAACGUCCACAAUAGUUAAACCCACAGAGAGAGAAAGCAGUGCAUGCGUGCCAGGGCCUGCAGAUGGAGGGGGAGACCAGAGUGGCAGCUGAUGAAUGGUACAGGGUUUUUUGGGGUUUGGGGAGUGGCUGGGGUCAUGAAACUGCUGUCAAAAUUAGUGGUGAUGACUACAGGACUUCGUGAUUACACUCAAAACUACUGAAUUGUAUAUUUUCGAGUGGUUUCAAUGGUGAAUUUUAUGGCAUGGAGAUUAUAUCUGAAUUUUUGGAAAAGAAGCCCCAGGGGGCCUUUGCACUUGUGGCCCCUGAAGCAGAAAGGAGGUGCACACAAUGAGGUACCACCUCACCCCGGCCAGAAGGGCCAUCAUCAAAAAGUCUACAAACAGUAAGUGCUGGAGAGGGUGUGAAGAAAAAGAAACCUCAUUACACCGUUGGUGGGACUAUAAACUGGUGCAACCACUGCGGAAAACAGUAUAGAGAUUCCUCAGGAAACUAAAAAUAGAAUUACCAUUUGAUCCAGCAGUCCCACUCCUGGGCAUCUAUCCAGAGAAAGCCAUGGCUUAAAUAGACACAUGUACUCCAGUGUUCAUUGCAGCACUGUAUACAACAGCCAAGAGAGGGAAAUAAUCUAAAUGCCCAUCAACAGAGGAGUGGAUCAAGAAGAAGUGGUACAUAUAUACACAAUGGAAUAUUACUCAGCCAUUAAAAGGAAAGAAAUAACGGCAUUUGCAGCAACAUGGAUGGACCCAGAAAUUAUCAUGCUAAAUGAAGUCAGACAGUGCGACACCAACAUCAAAUGCUAUGACUUACAUGUGUGAUCUAAAAAAAGGACACAAUGAGCUUCUCUGCAGAACAGAUACUGACUCACAGACUUUGAAGAACCUAUGGUUUCCUGAUGAGACAGGUUGGGGACUGGGGGGAUGCACUGAGGGUUUGGGAUGGAAAUGUGAUAAAAUUGGGUUGUGAUGAUCGUUGUACACCUAUAAAUGUAAUAAAAUUCAUUGAGUAAU
rnacentral:lncRNA from 1 species